rnacentral:rRNA from 1 species
CGGGGUGCAGCAGGCGCGAAAACUUUACAAUGCUGGAAACAGCGAUAGGGGGACUUUGAGUGCCAGGAUACAAUUCUGGCUGUCGUGAUGCCUAAAAAGCAUUGCAUAGCAAGGGCCGGGCAAGACCGGUGCCAGCCGCCGCGGUAACACCGGCGGCUCGAGUGGUAACCGCUAUUAUUGGGUCUAAAGGGUCUGUAGCCGGCUGAAAAAGUCUCUUGGGAAAUUCGGUAGCUUAACUAUCGGGCUUUCAGGAGAUACUCUUCGGCUCGAGACCGGGAGAGGUGAGAGGUACUUCAUGGGUAGGGGUGAAAUCUUGUAAUCCUUGAAGGACCACCAGUGGCGAAGGCGUCUCACCAGAACGGAUCUGACGGCAAGGGACGAAAGCUAGGGGCACGAACCGGAUUAGAUACCCGGGUAGUCCUAGCCGUAAACGAUACUCGCUAGGUGUCGGCCACGGUGCGACCGUGGUCGGUGCCGUAGGGAAGCCGUGAAGCGAGCCACCUGGGAAGUACGGCCGCAAGGCUGAAACUUAAAGGAAUUGGCGGGGGAGCACAAGGGCGAAUCGCG